AUCUAUGUACUAAAUGGGGCUAUAGGAAAGGAAUUGCAAUAUCUGUAUCCCACCAAGUUCUGUGAUGAGAAAGAGGCAUGGAAUUCUGGGGUUUGGAAAUUUUACCAUGUUGUAAUUCUCCCCAAACCUUAAUAAAUACAGACCCUCUGUUGCCAUUUCACCAAGAGCUUCAGGCGGACUUCAAACACUCUUCUUCAGAGUCCAGCAAGAACAGGACUGCACCAAGCUCAAACCAACUAUGAAGAUCCUUUUUCUACUCUUUGCCAUCCUCUUAUUCAUCUUCCAAACAAUUCCAGGAUAUGCUUACCCUCUUGAUGAUACCAUGGAAUGCAGACAGAGUGGGGGUUUCUGUAAG